UACGGGGGGCGCAAGCGUUGUUCGGAUUUACUGGGCGUAAAGGGCGCGUAGGCGGCCACCGCAAGUCAAUUGUGAAAUCUCCGGGCUUAACUCGGAAAGGUCAACUGAUACUGCGGGGCUAGAGUGCGGAAGGGGCAACUGGAAUUCUCGGUGUAGCGGUGAAAUGCGUAGAUAUCGAGAGGAACACCUGCGGCUAAGGCGGGUUGCUGGGCCGACACUGACGCUGAUGCGCGAAAGCCAGGGGAGCGAACGGG
rnacentral:rRNA from 1 species